CUACCAUGGCAGUCACGGGUAACGGAGAAUUAGGGUUCGAUUCCGGAGAGGGAGCCUGAGAAACGGCUACCACAUCUACGGAAGGCAGCAGGCGCGAAAAUUGCCCAAUCCUGACACGGGGAGGCAGUGACAAGAAAUAACAACUCUAGGUUUUCUUAGAAGUGUAAUGAGGAUGAUUUACAAACCUUACCGAAUGCAAUUGGAGGGCAAGUCUGGUGCCAGCAGCCGCGGUAAUUCCAGCUCCAAUAGCGUAUAUUAAAGUUGUUGCAGUUAAAAAGCUCGUAGUUGAAGUUCUGAUUGUUCGGGUUUCUAGACAUUAGUCGGAGAUACUGACAGUCAUCCGCUUGCAAACAUAUGUUCGAUCUUUACCGGUUGGCUAUGUGAGUAAGCAUUUUACCUUGAGAAAAACAGAGUGUUCCAGGCAGGUUUGUCCGGAAUGCAUUAGCAUGGAAUAAUAGAAUAUGACUGAAGUCUAUUUAUUGGUUACAGGCUUUAGUAAUGAUUAAUAGGAACAGUCGGGGGCAUUCGUACUCAGCAGUCAGAGGUGAAAUUCUAAGAUUUGCUGAAGACGAACUAAUGCGAAAGCAUUUGCCAAGGAUGUUUUCAUUAAUCAAGAACGAAAGUUAGGGGAUC
rnacentral:rRNA from 1 species